CCACAACCUAACCCAAAAUUCAAGGAGACUGUGUUCAAAGUCUGCGGUGAUGUGGACAGAUACGACUGCUGUGAGGAUCAUUUCAGCCAGUCUCAGGCCUUCUAUAACGCAAUGGAAGAAGAUCACAAGGAUAGAACUGCACAAAAUUUUGCAGAUAGUAUUUCUAGGGCAAGCCCUGAAAUACAGGAACGGACGCUUGAAUACUUGAAUUCGAUAGAUCCCGACCUCAUGAGCAGAGUGGCUGCACGGGUCACUCAGAUUCCAGAGUGUGGAACUCCAUAGGAAGCUGCAAAGCAAAGAGAUCCGGCACCAGGCGCGGCGGUGACUCUACCGGACAUACAUCUGCUUCGUGUGACGCAACUCUGCUGCCACAAUCACUUCCCUGCACUUUCCUGCGAUUCAUGGGCUGUGGGUUUGCGGUGUCUUUUGAGCUUUUAAUGCUUUUUGACCGAGAAUAAACUUCUGCAUUGC